UACGUAGGGCGCGAGCGUUGUCCGGAAUUAUUGGGCGUAAAGAGCUCGUAGGCGGCCUGUCGCGUCCGCUGUGAAAACCCGGGGGCUUAACCCCCGGGCCUGCAGUGGAUACGGGCAGGCUGGAGGCAGGGCAGGGGAGAACGGAAUUCCCGGUGUAGCGGUGAAAUGCGCAGAUAUCGGGAGGAACACCGGUGGCGAAGGCGGUUCUCUGGGCCUGUACUGACGCUGAGGAGCGAAAGCGUGGGGAGCGAACAGG
rnacentral:rRNA from 1 species